rnacentral:lncRNA from 13 species
AUGGAUGCCUUCUUAAUCACAGGCUCUGUGGGUAAAGGGAAAGCCUUGCCUGGGCAGCCCCUCCCACCUCCACCCACCCCCUCCAUUGAUUCACAAACCUGGAAUACUCUGGAGGAGGCUGGGAAAGUCCAUCCCCAGGGAAUAUCACUUUUUUCCUCUUCCAUGCCUCUCACAGGACACCCACAAGACCAGGAGGCAGAACGUGAACAGGGAGGUCUUUCUUAUUACUACUUUUUGAGUGUCAGCAAGUUCAACCAAUCUACAAAGGCCAAAAAUAUUUUCACAGGCCCCCAAAAGAUGAACUCCAAUCUGUUUCCCCUAAAUGCAUUAUCCACCGUCUGGAAGAUGUGCAAAGGCAACGGCACAGCGUUCUCCAUCUCAAAUCCUUCAAAGUGCUGUCAGAAUAAAAGAAUCCCCACCAAAAGCCCCAGGGAAAUCUAUCUGUCUGUAUGGUAUGGUAAUGACUGAGGUUAUUCCAGAUAGGAUUCUGGGAGAAACUCAGCUAUUGAAAUCUAAUGAAUGGAACUGAGAAUUUCUUGUUAUAAUACUAUUUCUUUUAUCAAAUAUAUCCUUGUGCAUAAGAAGACAUAAAAAUAAAUAAUAAAAGCAAGAUAUUGUUUGAAUUUUU